UACGUAGGUGACAAGCGUUGUCCGGAUUUACGGGGCGUAAAGAGCGCGCAGGCGGUCGUUCAAGUCGAGUGUGAAAGCCCCCGGCUCAACUGGGGAGGGUCACUCGAUACUGAUCGACUCGAAGGCAGGAGAGGGUAGUGGAAUUCCCGGUGUAGUGGUGAAAUGCGUAGAUAUCGGGAGGAACACCAGUGGCGAAGGCGACUACCUGGCCUGUUCUUGACGCUGAGGCGCGAAAGCUAGGGGAGCAAACGGG
rnacentral:rRNA from 1 species